AAACAACAGGAAACAGUUGCGUACAAUGGGUUAGGACAUACAUAUGGAUUGAACAAACAGUUUCAAAUGGCUAUUGCAUACUAUCAGAAAGCUUUGGAAAUUGCACAAGAACGUGGAGAUAAACAACAGGAAACAGUUGCGUACAAUGUGUUAGGACAUGCGUACAGAUUGAACAAUCAGCUUCAAAUAGCUAUUCAAUACUAUCACACAGCCUUGGAAAUUGCACAAGAACGUGGAGACAAACAACAAGAAACAGUUGCGUACAAUGGGUUAGGAGAUGCGUACAGAUUGAACAAACAGUUUCAAACAGCCAUUCAAUACUACCAGAAAGCCUUGGAAAUUGCACAAGAAUGUGGAGACAAACGACAGGAAACAGUUGCGUACAAUAUGUUAGGACAUGCUUAUAGAUUGAACAAUCAGCUUCAAAUGGCUAUUCAAUACUAUCACACAGCCUUGGAAAUUGCACAAACAUGUGGAGACAAACAACAGGAAACAGUUGCGUACAAUGUGUUAGGACAUGCAUAUAGGUUGAACAAACAGUUUCAAACGGCCAUUCAAUGCUACCAGAAAGCCUUGGAAAUUGCACAAGAACGUGGAGACAAACAACAGGAAACAGUUGCGUACAAUGUGUUAGGACAUGCUUAUAGACUGAACAAUCGGCUUCAAACGGGUAUUCAAUACUAUCACACAGCCUUGGAAAUUGCACAAGAACGUGGGGAUAAACAACAGGAAACAGUUGCGUACAUUGGGUUAGGACAUGCAUAUGGAUUGAACAAACAGUUUGAAAUGGCUAUUGAAUACUAUCAGAAAGCCUUAGAAAUUACACAAGAACGUGGAGAUAAACAACAGGAAACAGUUGCGUACAAUGGGUUAGGACAUGCGUACAGAUUGAGCAAUCAGCUUCAAAUGGCUAUUCAAUACUAUCAGAAAGCCUUGGAAAUUGCACAAGGACGUGGAGAUAAACAACAUGAAACAGUUGCGUACAAUGGGUUAGGACAUGCGUAUGGAUUGGACAAACAGUUUCAAACGGCUAUUCAAUUCUGUCAGAAAGCCUUGGAAAUUGCACAAGAACAUGGAGAUAAACAACAGGAAACAGUUGGGUACAUUGGUUUAGGACAUGCAUAUGGAUUGAACAGUCAGUUUGAAACGGCUAUUCAGUACUAUCAGAAAGCUUUGGAAAUUGCACAAGAAUGUGAAGAUACAGAACAGAAAACAGUUGCGUACAUUGGUUUAGGACAUGCAUAUGGAUUGAACAAACAGUUUCAAACGGCUAUUCAGUACUAUCAGAAAGCCUUGGAAAUUGCACAAGAACGUGGAGAUAAACAACAGAAAACAGUUGCGUACAAUGUGUUAGGACAUGCGUACAGAUUGAACAAACAGUUUCAAAUGGCUAUUCAAUACCAUCAGAAAGCCUUGGAAAUUGCACAAGAACGUGGAGAUGUAGAACAGGAAACAGUUGCGUAUAUUGGUUUAGGACAUGCAUAUGGAUUGAACAAUCGGUUUAAAACGGCCAUUGAUUACUACCAGAAAGCCUUGGAAAUUGCAAAAGACCGUGGAGAUACAGAACAGGAAACAGUUGCUUUCAUUGGUUUAGGACAGGCAUAUGGAUUGAAC